AUGGAUCACUGCAACCUUGACCUCCAAGGCUCAAGCCAUCCUCCUGCCUCAACCUCUGGGGUAGCUGGGGCUACAGGUGGAGAAAGAGAAGUUUGUCUCCCCGAAAGCCCCUGUGUGCUCAUCUUUAUCUCCCGCCUUCCCCCAUGUCUGCUGUCAAGGUGUUCUGCUGUUCUUUACUGUGGAUAUCUGUUGGCUGUUCUAUGGUGUUGCUGUUCUCACCCCGUCAGAUGCCUGGUGGCUUCUCUCUGUUUCCUCCUGCAAAGAUGUCAAUACCAUACAGAAAAACCAAACACGUCUCAUAUAGCGAGGGAGGCAUUACUGGCGUCAUCUGGUUUGAAGGCCAAACUCCUCCCCAGUGGGACAGGUUUGUGGCUAUAUACAGUGAAUCCCCUCUGUGCAACAGGAAAGGAAAUACUCUUGUUUCUGAAAUUGGCAAAGCUUGUUUCCUGCAUCAUCACCUUUGCCUAUGUCUUUUUCUUUUCUUGGUGGAUAACCCACUUGUUGCUUUUCUUUAGACAUUUCUUAUUUUUGGACCUAUUGAUUCUGACUGUACUCGCCCUUCCCCUCCUCAGGCUAUUUUCCCUGUUCAGUGUUAAUAUUCUAUACAGUAGCUCUUCUAAUAUCCUUGAGUGUACCUUUAUGCAUCUUAUUUCUACUGUUGGUACUAAAGAUUCUUAUAAUAAUGUGUGUUGUUGA
rnacentral:lncRNA from 1 species